AUCUAGCUAACAAGUUCAAAAUAGGACGAAAUGUGCAUCCUGGAU
rnacentral:hammerhead_ribozyme from 1 species